CAGCCGCCACGGUAAUACGAAGGGGGCUAGCGUUGUUCGGAAUUACUGGGCGUAAAGGGCGCGUAGGCGGCCAUUCAAGUUAGAUGUGAAAGCCCUGGGCUCAACCUAGGAAUUGCAUUUGAUACUGUUUGGCUUGAGUUCGGGAGAGGUGAGUGGAAUUCCCAGUGUAGAGGUGAAAUUCGUAGAUAUUGGGAAGAACACCAGUGGCGAAGGCGGCUCACUGGACCGACACUGACGCUGAGGCGCGAAAGCGUGGGGAGCAAACAGGAUUAGAUACCCGCGUAGUCCCUGUCUCUUAUAU
rnacentral:rRNA from 1 species